UAAAGUUUCCAUUGGACUUGGCACUGGAUGCGUAUUUUUCGGAUUAUCUGUCGUAUAUUUCUAUUUUCAAUAUCAGGAUUUCAACAGAAAACAAUCAGAUGAUUGGGAUAGCAAUAAAUAUAAACCUAUUGUGAUUCUUGGUGGUUCGGACUGCGCAAUAUGUUUAAAGCAGAAGGACAGUAGAAGUGAGCCUGUAGUAACUUUAUUUUGUAAUCACGGUAUGUAUAGUGUACAGUAUAAGUAAGCCUGUAGAUACUAUUUUGUAAUCACGGUAAGAAUAGUGUACAGUAGAAGUGAGUCUGUAGUAACUUUAUUUUGUAAUCACGGUAUGUAUAGUGUACAGUAGAAGUGAGUCUGUAGUAACUUUAUUUUGUAAUCACGGUAUGCAUAGUGUACAGUAGAAGUAAGCCUGUAGAUACUAUUUUGUAAUCACGGUAUGAAUAGUGUAUGGUAGAAGUGAGCCUGUAGUAACUUUAUUUUGUAAUCACGGUAUGUAUAGUGUACAUUAGAAGUGAGUCUGUAGUAACUUUAUUUUGUAAUCACGGUAUGUAUAGUGUACAGUAGA